AAACUUUCAACAACGGAUCUCUUGUCCAGCAUCGAUGAAAACGCAGCGAAAUGCGAUAAGUAAUGGAAUUGCAAUUCAGUGAAUCAUCGAAUCUUUGAACGCCUUGCCCCCUCGGUAUUCCGGGGGGCAUGCUGUUCGAGCGUCAUUACA
rnacentral:rRNA from 1 species